AGAACGAACGCUGGCGGCAUGCCUAAUACAUGCAAGUCGAACGAACACUUCGGUGUUAGUGGCGCACGGGUGCGUAACGCGUGGGAAUCUGCCCUUGGGUUCGGAAUAACAGUUGGAAACGACUGCUAAUACCGGAUGAUAUCGAAAGAUCAAAGAUUUAUCGCCCAGGGAUGAGCCCGCGUAGGAUUAGCUAGUUGGUGAGGUAAAGGCUCACCAAGGCGACGAUCCUUAGCUGGUCUGAGAGGAUGAUCAGCCACACUGGGACUGAGACACGGCCCAGACCUCCCGACGGGAGGCAGCAGGUAGGGAAUAUUGGACAAGUGGG
rnacentral:rRNA from 1 species